UAUUGAUAUUGAUGAUCUUAAUGAAAUGGAUGAUUAUGCGGAAAUGAUGCCUCCCUCCAAAACUCAAAAGAUAUCUUCUAGUGGAGGUUCAUCCACCGCACGGAGUGUGAUGAAAGGAGCUUUGAACCUCUAUUUUUCACAAAAAUCAACACAAAAAGGAGGCUUUGAAAAAGGAGGAGGAAUUGAUGAAACAAAGAAAAUUCUAAGAGAGCGUGCGGUAAAUGCUUUUGCAAUUUGGAUGUAUGAUGCCGAGCUCCCUUUUAAUUGCGUCAAUCACAAAUCAUUCGAUAAAUUUUUUGAGGCGGUUGGACAACAUGGCCCCGGAAUGAAGCCUCCUACAUUCCAUGAAGUUAGAGUCACUCACCUUAAAAAAGAGGUGGAUAAAGUAGAAAAAAUUAUUGAUGAGCAUAAAGUGCAAUGGACAAAGUUCGAAUGUUCCAUUAUGAUGGAUAAAUGGACGGCACGAAAUGGCAAAAUGAUCAUCAAUAUUUUGGUGAAUUUCUUCAAUCGGUAGUGUAUUUCUUGGUUCUGUUGAUGCUAGCAAUGGAUCUACCGAUUCCACCAAAAUGUACAAGUUAUUUGAAAGCACUAUCGAAAGAAUUGGACCGGAAAAUGUUGUACAAAUUGUCACCGAUAAUGCUAGUGAGAAUGUCAACGCGGGAAGUAUGAUGAUGGGUGUGUAUCCACACAUUUAUUGGACUCCAUGAGCCGCUCAUUGCAUCAACUUGUAACAUAUUCAAGGUUAAGCCAUAUGCUUUCGGUAAUCAACAUAUCCUUUAACUUUCUUUAUAGUCAAUAAUUCAUUAGCUACUAAUUAAUAUAAUCUAAUCUUUCUAUAACAAUUUUUAAGAAGGCCAUCAGAAUCCAUUCUUACAUUAGUCAAAGGCCAUUGUUGUUAAACUUGAUGAGAAAAUUCACCAAGGAAAGAAAUUUGAAGAAACCGGCCAAGACAAGAUUUGCAACGGCAUUCUUAACUUUGAGAGCUAUGUACAUACAAAGAAAAAACUUGAGAACUUUAGUCCUCUCAACCGAAUGGAAUUCAAGUAAAUUUGCAAAGGAAACUUUGGGGAAAGAAGUUGUCAAUCUUAUUAUUUCUGUCCACUUUUGGAAUAAUGUUGUUCGGGCACUUACAGUUUGUAGCCCUAUGACAAAAGUGCUUCGUUUGGUCGAUGGGGAGAAAAAACCACAAAUGGGUCAUAUUUAUGAAGCAACGGAUAGAGCCAAAGAAGCUAUUGCACAUGGUUUUCGUGGAGUUAAGAAGCAAUAUGAGAAAGUGUUUCAAAUUAUUGAUGAGAGGUGGUCAGAACAACUCCAUCGGCCUUUGCAUGCUGCAGGCCAUGUUUUGAACCCAAGAUUAUAUUAUAAAGCUCAAGAAGAGGGAACUAUAUCACAGACUUUGUGGACCGAGUAUUAUGCAUGUGUUGAGAAGUUGGUCCAUGAUACAACAAUACAAAGAUGCACUAGUCGUUGAGCUUCCUAAAUACAAAAUGGCGGAUGGACUAUUUGGUUGUGGUCCGGCUAAAAGAGCUAGAGACACAAGGUCACCGGUUGAAUGGUGGUCACUAUUUGGUAGUGAAACACCAAACUUGCAAAAGUUUGUCAUGAAAGUAUUAAGCCUAACUUGUAGCUCAUCCGGAUGUGAGCGAAAUUGGAGUGUGUUUGAACACGCAAGUAAAAAUUUAUAUCCUAUUUUUCAUAUUAUAUUAUUAUCAAUAUCAACUAGUUAAUAUCAAUAACUUAUGCACAGAUUCAUUCCAAAAAGAAGAAUAGGCUUACAUUAUCGCGUCUCAAUGAUCUAGUGUACAUUAAGUACAAUAGAACAUUGAAACGUCGUUUUGAUGCUCGUGAUCUUAUUGAUCCAAUUCGCUUAGAUAACAUAGAUGAUUCAAAUGAAUGGUUAGUUGGAUGCCCCGAAGAUCAAGAUGAUGAACUAGUAUAUGAGGAUGAUGAUCUUACCUGGGAUAGUGUUGCUACGGCAAUUAGAGUGGACGAGAGUAUCUAUCAUCUUAGGGGACUUUCUUCAAGAUCAACAGUACUUGACAAGGGCAAAGGAGUAGAAAGUACAUCUACAAGUUCAUCUUCAAGUAGGACUCGGACACUAAUUGAUAAAGAAUACGAGGAAGAAGAUGAAGAGCAAUAUAAUGAUGUAGAGGAUUUUGAUCUUCAAGAGUUGGAUAAUUUUGAAGAAGAAUAGACUUUUAAAGUUUUGGUUUAUUGUAUUUUGAAUUGUUUGGUCUUUAAAGUUUUAGACAUUUUAGUAUCUACUAUUGGUUUUUGAAUUGAAUAUUUGCUAAUAUGUGUGAUUGCGAUUAAGAUUUUGGAUAAGAUAUGCAAUUAAAUAUUUUUAAUUUUUGCUAUUAAUUGGCGCCUUUAUUCAAAAAGGCAAGUGCCUCGCCGCUCGCCUCGCCGCGUGGCGAGGCAGGCCCUUGUCGCCUCUCGCCGUCCACAACACUGAGAUGGAUUAAGAACCUCUACAUAACUAAUACAAAAAGUUGGCUGGCAUAUAAGAAAUAUCUCUGCACAACUAAUGCAGCAUUUAGAUGGUGUUAAGCUGGUAAUAAACAAUAUCAAAAUUCAAGUUAUUUUGGGAAUCCAGAUAUUAUUCCAUGGGGAAUCCCUAGAGUUGGGUUUGAAUUGCAGUUGGUAUGAUAAUAAUCCUCCUCAAAAAACAAAGUUAGUGACAUCCAAGUGAGAUUUGAAAAUAUCAGUCAGGUAUAUUCUUCUUUCAUGAUAAAGACCAAGUAAACAGUUUCACCUGACUAUUACUCCUAUUGUCCUGAAUCCUCUCUGCUCUUACCUAGACCUUCCUUUCUGGACUUGUCCUCUCUUUGAUAAGUUCAUUCAUAGACCUCAAAGUUUCUUUUUGACAAGUAAACAGGUUUAAAUAUGGCAAGAUGCACUAGACCAGCCCUACAAAAGAUAAUUACAGAGAGUGAAAGUCACCUGUCAGAGAGUUCAUAUAUCUUCUUUGCUUUUGGGUGGGUAUUUUUUUUUUUUUUGGGGGGGGGGGGGGGGGUAUUCCAGAGGUUUGAUGUUGUGCAUAAUUUGGCAACCAACUAAGACACUGUUGUAAAACCGGCCACUGAUAAAUAGUCCUAAUCAUAUUUGCUGGUUUUCCACAAUAACCACGAGAUGUCAAACUACAAUAAUCUAGGAUGCCAUAUUACAUUAUUCUGGUAAAGCUUCCUUGCUUUUGUACUUUCCACAAUAUGUGAUUGAAGAAAUCUCACAGGUAACCAACCAUUAGUGGAACAAUAUAUGAUAAUGAUCCCAAGCCAUGAAGGCAUAUAAUAUCUGUUAACCAUCAAAAUUUGCAGGAUUUCAAAAAACAGAUAUGCCUCUCAUGGAAGAAUUACGCAAUUGUCAGCAUAGGUGGGCACUACCAACAAAGUAAUGCUAAACCAAAUAAAAACUGUUAUCUAUUUGUGCAUGAAUCUAUGGAAGUUGGAAAAGUUUUUCAACAAGAACAUUUUAUACAUCAUUCUCUAUGUGAACAGCAGUAACUUAACCAGACUACACCCAUAAAAAGUAAAUUUUCUGUGUGAAUAACAGUAACUUAACCAGUACAUACCUAUAAAUAACAGUAAUUUAAUUGGACUAGAAAUGAUUUCUCUUAGCUUUGAAUUUCACAAGAUUACAUGACUUAUUCCUAAUCGUUCGCCCAGAGCUCUAAAUUUUAACAAUGCUACCAGAUUUGUACUUCACUAGGUAUAAGUGAAGCCUUUCAUUUUUGGCAGUCUAUCAACUACACAGUAAAAUUAAGAACAGUUAGGUAAAUCCACAAUUUCUGUCUUAUCCAGCAGGUUUAAGAACAAGCCCAACCAAUAUUAAGUAUAUCUGAAUGUCAAAGAAAAUCAUGUUCAAGAGAGUCGGCAAAUGGAGAAGCAGGUCCCAAUAAAUGUAAGAAAUAAGAUGUUGAAGCACCGACAACAGAUAUGUUCAGAUUCUUCAAAGAUUAUUAGUUUGUAAGAACUAAACUCUGAACAGUUUAUUUUAAUACUUACAAUGGGUGUAACAGCAGCUUCUGAGAAUCAGUGUACAUAGAAUUAUUCAGAUAAUACACUAACCAUUCAGAAGGUUCAAUUUAGUUACUCAAUACGGUGGUACCGUGGUAGCAGCAGCUUCUUGAGAAUCAGAUAACUUAUCACCACCGUAAUCUGAUAUGUAACAAGAACUAAUUACACAUGUUCCAGUUUUGUCCCAAAACUUUGGUAAGUUAUUUAAAAGGCUAUAUUUUCUAAAUUAAUUUUAUUACUCAGCAUGGUGGUAGCAGCAGCUUCUGAGAAUCAGAUUAUGGUAAUGUUGAGAAUCAGAUUAUGGUAGUGGUCAGUAUCAGAUUAUGGUAAUGGUGAGAAUCAGAUUAUGGUAACUUAUCACCACCUAAUCUGAUAUGUAAAAAAACUAAUAACACGUGUUCCACUUUUUGUCCCAAAACUUUGGUAUGUGUUAUUUAUUAGGUUAUAUUAUCUAAAUCCACUUCAGAUGAAAUUCCAAAUUAUAAAAAAAAUUUACCAAACAAAUAGAAAAACAGUCUUAUAUCAGUUGUUGGCUAAGAUGAAAUUAAAGACCUCAAAGAUGUCAUACAGCAUUUUGUGCCCACAGAAGGAACAUCUUGUGAAGAGAAAAACUUCUACUCAUUGAAUACAUAAAAAGUACACCAUUUUUAUUGUCUUAUAGCUCACAGCGAAAAUAAUGUCAUCUGUAGAACAAGUGAUAGUUUUCUUUAACAGAUCCAAAGUCCAAUCAAAUAUUUUAGCUCUAAAGAAUCCUAUUCAAUAUUAAUUUAUCCAAGGAAUCAAUGAUUGAUGCAAAUUAAGGGGGGAGAACAUUAACUCCAUACACAAAGGGGAAAAAAGGGUCAUCGGUUGUCCUUAUGUUUGACAGAAUUAUCAUACCGACUCAUGUAGAUACAUGUUUUAUUUCUUUGAAGAUAAGUUUAAUACAAUAAUUUGAAAUUGGGAAAAGUCAAAAAGUUGGUCGAAAGAUAUCACAUUAAAUUGAACUAAGAUAUUUCUAACUUGCACUCACUUCAAGCUAAAGAAGUGCUAUUUAUGCAAUUGGAACAACUGUUCAGGUUAAGAUUAAACUAAGAAGUAGGCAGCUUAGGAUGGGACUGAGGGGUAAGAAAUGCAUCUAGUAGCAUGACAGCAUUUCAAUAACGGCGCCUGUUAAGAUUUCAGCUCCGCUGUUUCUUUUACCAUCCUUUUUUUUUCUUGCACGACAAUUAAAAUAUAGAGAACUUCUGAUAUAAAUCACUAAUAUUAUUACAUAGAUAUUAACUUAUUUUUCAGUUUCAUUUGAUCUGAUGAUGGCAUGAGUUGAGCUUAAAUGGGGGGAAAAUGAGGAUUCAUAUAGUUGAACCCAAAUUGUUUGUAAUUGAAGCAUUGUCGAUUCUUUUUUGUGUUUUGUGAUGGAUUUGUAGGCAACAAAAUAGCCCUUGAUAUAAAUCACUAUAUAACAAAUUCAUAUCACAAAACAAAAAAGAGAGGUCACUCACUUGUUACCCUCUAAAACUGAUAUCAAAAAUAUUCUCCAACAUCAAGACCAAGAAGAAGAUGGAAAUCCCAAGGAAAACCAAUAAAAGAUAAAUGAAGAUUCGAAUUGCUUCCUUAUCUGCACUAUGUAUCCAAUCCUAUUUGCACAGAUGUUCCUAACCAGGAGAUGAGGGGGUGCUUUGAAGGGGGGCGAAAAAUGUUGACUUCUCUUUGUUUGUAUCAAGACGCCCGAAGGGCUGACCCUAUGCACCGCAGGAGCCGUGACCCUAAUGCUCAUGUGUAUGUCCAAUUAGAAAUUUUCAGUUGAUAGGCAUCAUGUGCCUUCAACCGUAAAACAAAAACCUCUGAUUAACUUGCUAACAUUUACAAGAAAGAUUAAAUAGAAAUGUGAGCAAGGGUUAAGAAUGCCAACAUGGAAAUUCUCAAAAUUGAGAAUCUGAAACAGGGAAAAUUUUGGCUAGCCUAUAUCAGUUAUGCAUCCUCCCAAAUUUCCAGUUAUAUAUGAAGUAUGGAAGCAAAUUAUAUCAAUACUCAUUGGUAAACAUAUUCUUCAAGUUAUGAAGGAUUCUCAUUGUACACGGAUAGAGUAAGUAACUCAUUGCUGAUAUAUGAUAGGAUUUUACUUGCAUUACCUGGAGACUAAAAGACAUCACCAAAUCCAACAAGAUUUACCAGUUUAAAAAAAAAAGAAGAUGAUUUCUUGUUAAUAACAAAACUGAAGGAAGAUGACCAGCUAAUACAAAUUUCUCAUCUGCACCAAACUCUACAACUCAGUAUAGUCAGCAUAAUUACAAGGGUCAACAGGGCUUACACUUUGUUAAGUAUGUGUCUGUGAAAUGCAUUUGUCAGGAAAAUUACAAUAGUACAAAAUCCUGCCAAGGGUCACCCAACUUUACAGCAAAUGCUCUAAUGACUGUCUUUUUUCCAGACGUCAGUCCUGUAUCCUACUUGAGCCACCAUUAGA